GGGAAAUAUAAGGCAGCAUCAUUCAGGAUGUUUUGAGAGGGUGGAGAUAUGCUGUCUGAAGAAAAGAUCUUUGAAAGAUCGGAAGCUUCUAGUUACCAAAAGACUGCAGUUCAGAGGAACUUAUAGUGGAUAACAAAUCAAGGAGGAAAUGGGUCAUCUAACAGCCUACUGUAUGUUUACGGGAGUGAAGUCCCUGGAGCUGGCCACGUGAUGCUUUUGGAAGGCACCCGAUGGGCAGGCAAAGGAGCUCAGAUCUGGCAGAGAGAGGGCAGACACAGCAGUUUCACUGACAGUCAUGGGCUGUCAGGAGUUUAAUGAAGAUGUGGCACAGCAACAAAUCAAGCCAUCACAGUCUGUUUUGUAUCGAUCCACUUUCAAGCCCUGACAGAGGGCAUGCCAGAGAUGGGUAGGGCUGUGUUCAUGAUGUUCUCAGCUUUGGGAGCUCUCUGAUGAUGCUGUGUUUAUAGAUAAUCUGCAAACAAGAUCUGAAGUGUUUGGAUGGGGUGGCUUAUUCCCUGUUCAUGUCAUAAUCUGGAGGUGUCCCAAAUCCAUGAGACAUGAUGGUGGAUGAAAACCACUGUUUCUCCCCUCUUUCUGGGUGGUUACGUUUCUGGGACCACAGCAGAAAGCCUCACACAUGCUCAGAUACUUAUGUCAUUAAAAAAGUAUUUUGAAUAUAUCAUCAACUUUUCUCCUUUUUUUCUAGGCAAGGAACACAGCUUUAAGAGGAGUUAUAAAAAGAAUUUUUUAAAAAAACAGUACAAGUGGAA